AUCACUGCUUGGCCUUUUGGCUAAGAUCAAGCGUAGUAUCUGUUCUCAUGUAGCAUUUACAACAGCCAAGGAUUUUAAUUUUUGAUGCAUUUAAACCUUGUCAAAUAUGAAGUCACACAGAAUUUAAACUCAUGACUGCCUACA
ensembl:snRNA U2 U2 spliceosomal RNA